CCUCAAUGGGAAAAUCUCUGAUUUGAAUCCAAUCAUCUUAUCUUUUUUAAAGAUUUUUUUGGGGCUGUUUCCUUUAUUUCAGAGUGAGUGGAUAGGCAGGAAAAGUGGGAGAGAACUGGGGGAAGACACGCAGCAAAGGGCCGCAGGUUGGAAUCCAAACCAGGCCGCUGCAAAGGCCUCUGCCUACAUGGGGCGCACACUCUUACUGGGUGAGGUAGAGGCCGCCCCAACCACAUUUCUUUUCAUUGUCCUCUUUCU